rnacentral:rRNA from 1 species
AAUAGAUACCCUGGUAGUCCACGCCCUAAACGAUGAUAACUCGAUGUUUGCGAUACACAGUAAGCGUCUUAGCGAAAGCGUUAAGUUAUCCACCUGGGGAGUACGGUCGCAAGAUUGAAACUCAAAGGAAUUGACGGGGGCCCGCACAAGCGGAGGAGCAUGUGGUUUAAUUCGAUGAUACGCGAGGAACCUUACCCGGGCUUGAAAGUUAGUGAAUGAGACAGAGACGUCUCAGUCCUUCGGGACACGAAACUAGGUGCUGCAUGGCUGUCGUCAGCUCGUGCCGUGAGAUGUUGGGUUAAGUCCCGCAACGAGCGCAACCCCUAUGUUAGUUGCCAGCACGUCAUGGUGGGGACUCUAAACAGACUGCCUGUGCAAACAGAGAGGAAGGUGGGGACGACGUCAAGUCAUCAUGGCCCUUACGUCCGGGGCUACACACGUGCUACAAUGGAUGGUACAGCGGGCAGCUACAUAGCAAUAUGAUGCUAAUCUCUAAAAGCCAUUCACAGUUCGGU